rnacentral:rRNA from 1 species
CAACCUGCCCUUCAGAGGGGGACAACAGUUGGAAACGACUGCUAAUACCGCAUACGAUCUAAUCUCGGCAUCGAGGAAAGAUGAAAGGUGGCCUCUAUUUAUAAGCUAUCACUGAAGGAGGGGAUUGCGUCUGAUUAGCUAGUUGGAGGGGUAACGGCCCACCAAGGCGAUGAUCAGUAGCCGGUCUGAGAGGAUGAACGGCCACACUGGAACUGAGACACGGUCCAGACUCCUACGGGAGGCAGCAUG